rnacentral:rRNA from 1 species
GACAGAGGGUGCAAACGUUGUUCGGAAUUACUGGGCGUAAAGCGCGUGUAGGCGGCAACGCAAGUCGGGUGUGAAAGCCCUGGGCUCAACCUAGGAAGUGCACACGAAACUGCGUAGCUUGAGUUCUGGAGAGGAAGGCGGAAUUCUCAGUGUAGAGGUGAAAUUCGUAGAUAUCGAGAGGAACACCGGUGGCGAAGGCGGCCUUCUGGACAGCAACUGACGCUGAGACGCGAAAGCGUGGGGAGCAAACAGG